rnacentral:rRNA from 1 species
GACGAACGCUGGCGGCGUGCUUAACACAUGCAAGUCGAACGGAAAGGCCCUGCUUUUGUGGGGUGCUCGAGUGGCGAACGGGUGAGUAACACGUGAGUAACCUGCCCUUGACUUUGGGAUAACUUCAGGAAACUGGGGCUAAUACCGGAUAGGAGCUCCUGCUGCAUGGUGGGGGUUGGAAAGUUUCGGCGGUUGGGGAUGGACUCGCGGCUUAUCAGCUUGUUGGUGGGGUAGUGGCUUACCAAGGCUUUGACGGGUAGCCGGCCUGAGAGGGUGACCGGCCACAUUGGGACUGGGAUACGGCCCAGACCCCUACGGGAGGCAGCAGGGGGGAAUAUUGCACAAUGGGCGGAAGCCUGAGGCAGCAACCCCGCGGGCGGGAGGACGGCCUUCGGGUUGUAAACCGUUUUCGCCUGUGACGAAGCGUGGGUGACGGUAAUGGGUAAAGAAGCACCGGCUAACUACGU